CAGGCUGCAGGGGCUCUUCCCUGGUUUCUCUUCUGAGAGCUAAAGUGGGAAUGCCUGACCCAUGGAAAAUGAUAUUCCUGAUAAUUUCCUCAGCCAGUCACUUUGCCAAAAACACCACUUGCAAAGUGCAGCCUCAUGGGGGUAAUCGGAACAGAAGAGAGCUUGCACGGGUAAUGGAGGGCAUACCACAGAGUCUCUGAAACCUGCUGAAGGAAUUCAAUAUAUCAUGUCUCUAUCACAGAGGAAAGACUUGUGGAAAGAUUCACUGACCUCUGCUUCCACAUAUCCCAGGCGUGGCAGAAGAGACUGGACCCCAUCUCACUACACCCUCCCUUCAGGCCGCUGUGGAGAGUGACAGGGUCCCCCCCAAGCCUCCUCUUCUCAAGACUGAAUAAAUGUAGCUCCUUCAGUUGUUCCUC